rnacentral:rRNA from 1 species
UACGAAGGGGGCUAGCGUUGCUCGGAAUCACUGGGCGUAAAGGGUGCGUAGGCGGGUUUUUAAGUCAGAGGUGAAAUCCUGGAGCUCAACUCCAGAACUGCCUUUGAUACUGGGAAUCUUGAGUAUGGAAGAGGUGAGUGGAACUGCGAGUGUAGAGGUGAAAUUCGUAGAUAUUCGCAAGAACACCAGUGGCGAAGGCGGCUCACUGGUCCGAUACUGACGCUGAGGCACGAAAGCGUGGGGAGCAAACAGG